GGUCGCCUCACCGCGAGUACUGGUCCGGCUGGACCUUUCCUUCUGGGGAACCCCAUGGCCUUCACUGGCUGUGGGGGGAACCAGGACUUUUACUGUGAAAAAAUUAGAGUGUUCAAAGCAGGCCUUUGCUCGAAUACAUUAGCAUGGAAUAAUAGAAUAGGACGUGCGGUUCUAUUUUGUUGGUUUCUAGGACCGCCGUAAUGAUUAAUAGGGAUAGUCGGGGGCGUCAGUAUUCAGCUGUCAGAGGUGAAAUUCUUGGAUUUGCUGAAGACUAACUACUGCGAAAGCAUUCGCCAAGGAUGUUUUCAUUAAUCAGGGAACGAAAGUUAGGGGAUCGAAGACGAUCAGAUACCGUCGUAGUCUUAACCAUAAACUAUGCCGACUAGGGAUCGGACGGUGUUUCUAUUAUGACCCGUUCGGCACCUUACGAGAAAUCAAAGUUUUUGGGUUCUGGGGGGAGUAUGGUCGCAAGGCUGAAACUUAAAGAAAUUGACGGA
rnacentral:rRNA from 1 species